rnacentral:rRNA from 1 species
AACGAACGCUGGCGGCGUGCCUAACACAUGCAAGUCGAACGAGAAAGGGGUCUUCGGAUCCUGAGUAAAGUGGCAAACGGGUGAGUAACACGUGAGUAAUCUCCCCUUGAUUUUGGAAUAACAGCCUGAAAAGGUUGCUAAUACCAAAUGAUAUCCCGGGAUGGCAUCAUUUCGGGAUCAAAGAUAGCCUCUCCAUGGAAGCUGUCGAUCAGGGAUGAGCUCGCGCACCAUUAGCUUGUUGGUAGGGUAAUGGCCUACCAAGGCUAAGAUGGUUAGCCGGCCUGAGAGGGUGUCCGGCCACACUGGGACUGAGACACGGCCCAGACUCCUACGGGUGGCAG